rnacentral:tRNA from 1 species
GCGCUUGAAGUUCAACGGUUGAACAGCGGGCCUGUAACCCGUUAGCAACAGGUUCGACUCCUGUCUUGCGCUCCA